rnacentral:rRNA from 1 species
GGGGAAUAUUGGACAAUGGGCGCAAGCCUGAUCCAGCAAUGCCGCGUGGAUGAAGAAGGUCUUCGGAUUGUAAAGUCCUUUCGACGGGGACGAUGAUGACGGUACCCAUAGAAGAAGCCCCGGCUAACUUCGUGCCAGCAGCCGCGGUAAUACGAAGGGGGCUAGCGUUACUCGGAAUUACUGGGCGUAAAGGGCGCGUAGGCGGCUCAGCAAGUCAGGCGUGAAAUUCCUGGGCUCAACCUGGGGACUGCGCUUGAGACUGUUGGGCUAGAGGAUGGAAGAGGGUCGUGGAAUUCCCAGUGUAGAGGUGAAAUUCGUAGAUAUUGGGAAGAACACCGGUGGCGAAGGCGGCGACCUGGUCCAUUACUGACGCUGAGGCGCGACAGCGUGGGGAGCAAAC